UUGCACUCCAAUCAGAUUCACAGGAUUUUCCUACAGUGCUGCCCCACUUCCUGUGCCCCUUUUGUUUUCUAUUAGGUUUGUAAUUUUAGCAUGGUAAAAGUUAAAUGGAACAACUCACAGCUCUUCUACCAUUUACAUAAGUGUAGCUGGAGCUAACUGAAAAGCUGUUGAAUACAGCAAGCAGCCACAGUCUUUCUGUAGCUCUGUGCACUGAGAGUCGGGAAGCAAGUUCAAGGAGUGAAUAAACAAAACAAGAAAACACGAACAGCGCACUGACAUGAAACAGGAACAGAAACCAUGACACCUGGGAAGGAGCCAAAGGGAGUGACAUAUGUAGGGCAGUUAAUCAAGGAGAUGGAGUCCAGGUGAGUGUCAUAAUGCGUGUAACGAUGGUGAAAGGUGUGCACCAUAAUGAAAAGCCUGGUGACCUAGAGGCCAGAGAGGGAGCACACGUGACAGUGAGAGCCCACCGGACGAGGCGCGAGAACCCGCCGAACCUGCCGAGGCGCGAGAGCCCGCCGAACCGGCCGAGGCGCGAAAUCCCGCCGAACAGGCCGAGGCGCGAGAGCCCGCCGAGGCACGAGAGCUCGCCAAGCCCGCCAAGCACGCCGAGGCGCGAGAGCCCGUCGAGCAUGCCAAGGCGUGGGAGCCCGUCGAGCCUGAGGCGUAGGAGCCCGUUGAGGCGCAGGAGCCCAUCGAGCCUCCCAGGUAGCUCCGGUUUUGACACCAGGACCCACAUCACCUCCAAAACAAGAAAAAACACUCCCGGAUGCUUCCCUUUGGUGAGGCGUCAUUCUGUAACACUGUGCGCUGAGAGUCGGGAAGCAAGUUCAUUGAGUGAGCGUUUUAAUAAAUAAAUGAAAACAUAAUGAACAAAAUAAGAACCACGAACAGCGCACCGACAUGGAACAGAAACAAUGACGCCUGGGGAAGGAACAAAAGGGAGUGACAUAUAUAGGGCAGGUAAUUAAGGAGAUGAUGGAGUCCAGGUGAGUGUCCUGGUGAUCUAGAGGCCGGAGAGGGAGCACAUGUGACACUUUCAUCACUGGUGCCUGGUCAGAAAUAGAAAAGAUCUGAGGGGGUCUUUAUUCCAUUCAUUAUAUCAACCUAGCUAAUAGAGCAUUUUAUAAAUAACAAAAUUAAAUAGUUUAAUUAUUAACGCUGUAUGAAAUGUAUACUAGUAUCUGAGAAGUAUUAAAACCUUAUCAUUUAAAUGAUGCCUAAAACUAAAAACGCUUCCUGAGGUAAUUUCAAAAAAUGCAAUGUAUUUGAAACAUAUUUCAAAUAAUUAAAUGAUCCGAUCUCUCUGAGAAACUGAGCAGUUUCGUCAGCAUUCUAAACUCAUUAGACAGCUUGAGCUCCAGGGAUAAAUGCCUAUGUGGGCUGUGUGAUCAAAUCAAAUCACAUUUUAUUACUCACAUGCGCCGAAUACAAGUAGACCUUACAGUGAAAUGCUUACUUCGUCAUUCAGAGUUGGUUAAAUUAACUCAUCUGGGGAGGCCAAAUGUUUUUUUUGUUGGUGACAAAAUAAAAUAUAGUGCAACACAUUGACUCCUGACAAGGACACUCAGUGAGCUCGACAGGCUGCUCUUUCAGUAAAUUGGCUGGAUUUCAGUGACUCGCCUUAAUUCCAUUUUACUGAGCUACUUACGUAGAACACAUAUAUUUAAUGACUAACAGCUUGCUUUGUCUUUUGACUGUCUGCCUAUCUACAGUGCAUUCGGAAAGCAUUCAGGCACCUUGAUUUCCACAUUUUGUUAAGUUACAGCUAUUCUCAAUCUACACACAAUACCCCAUAAUGAUAAAGUGAAAAUAGGUUUUAAGAAAUGUUUGUACAUUUCUUAACAAUUAAAAACAGAAAUGGCUUAUUUACAUAAGUAUUCAGACCCUUUGCUAUGAGACUCAAAAAUGAGUUCAGGUGUAUCCUGUUUCCAUUGAUCAUCCUUCUACAACUUGAUUGGAAAUGAUUUGGAAAGGCACACACCUGUUUACAGUAUAUAAGCUGUUAUUGCCGCCAAAAGUGCUUCAACUGAGUUUUUGAUUUGUCAUUAUGGUGUAUUGUAUGUAGAUUGACGAGGGAAGAAAACAAUAUAAUCCAUUUAAGAAUAAGGCUGUAAUAUAGAAAAAGGCAAGGGGUAUGAAUACUUUCCAAUGAUCCUGCUCGUUAUUUCUCUUCAUAAUUAAUCAUCACACUACUAAUCGAACAGACUAUCUAUUAUUUUCUAUCUAUCUAUUAUCAGAUAAGGAUUGUGUUGAUGCCUGGGGCGUUAGUUGGUGGAUAGCAUGGUUGUGUCACGUUCUGACCUUAGUUCUUUUGUUAUGUCUUUGUUUAGUAUGGUCAGGGCGUGAGUCGGGUGGGUUGUCUAUGUUCCUUUUUCUAUGAUUUGGGAUUUCUGUGUUUGGCCUGGUAUGCUUCUCCAUACUUAGGAAGCCUGGUUUCACUUUUGAGUUGUGGGUGAUUAUUUUCCGUGUUAGUGUUUGUUACCACACGGGACUGUUUUGUUUGUUUCACUUUGUUAUUUUGUAUUUUGUAGUGUUCAGUUUGACACAUUAAAAUGGACAUUACCACGCUGCAAAUUGGUCCAAUCUCUCUUACUCAUCAUCAGAAGAAGAGGACGAGCGUUACAGCAUCAGUAGAACAAGCCUUUCUCUCCUCCACCAGUCAUACAAGGAUAAUGGUCUAAUGCCUACCAUCAAAAAUAGAGCUGGCUCAAGCAAGCACAGGUUACACCUGAAGCAUGAGGACUUGCAGCAAAUUGUGAACUUCAUCAAUAACUACGCAGAGGAUAACACAAUAGUAUUACCAGGACGCCAUCCCAGGACACAAACACUUUGGUGGAGAGCUGCUGCAAUCCCAUGUGACAAAAGCAGCAGUGUGGCGUCUCUACAAGAAUCGAUGACAACACUUGGAAUUUUCCGAGAUGAUGUUUCUGUAUGCAGUGCUGAUGCUCUGCACAUUUGUAGGUGCACUAUCCUUCUGACCCAUACAGCCAGGUCCCAUCUACUUUUUAACUCCUCACAAGUGUGGCUUGUUUGGUGUCUGCUGUGAAGCAACUACUUAAUUGAUGAAGGCACGUCAUCUAGCAAAGGCAGAAGCGCGGUCAUCAACUACAUGCACCAUUUCUUCACCAACUAUGGAGUUGGGGAAACACGUGUGGACCUUAAUUGUGAUAAUUGCAGUGGCCAAAACAAGAACAAGUUUGUGCUCUGGUAUUGUGCCUGGUGGACCAUGCUUAAGCUCCACUACAGUCUGGACCUUCACUUACCUGAUCACAGGCCACACCAAGUUUGCCCCCGACUGGUGCUUCGGCCUCAUCAAGCAGCGCUUCAGAAAGACCAGAGUGAACACUUUGUCUGAGAUUGCUGGUGUUGUGAAGGACAGCACUGUGACAGGGGUCAAGAUCCCACAGCUGUUUGGACUGGAGGAUGGUACGGUGCUGGUGGAAAACUAUGGCUGGCAACAACACCUGACUCCGUACUUCAGGCCGCUGCCACUGUUCAAGCAGUACCAGCACAUCAUCUUCAAUGCUCUGGAGCCUGGUGUUGUUGUCGCCAAGGAGCGUUCUGACUCAGUCAGGACAAGGUUUCAGCUGCUGCGCAACGCUGACAUCCUUCCUCCCAUAGAUGGUCUGCCUGUACAAGCACCACCUGGACAGGACACAGCUAGACAAACUUAGGUUUUUGAGAAGAUCAUGGAGUUCUCAAAAAGAUCAUGGACAUCACAUGCCCUGCACCAAAGUCAAGGACAGGACAGAAACAGGCUCUUCGAAUAUAGAUUCCCUUGUUCGUGCAUGGUUCAGAUGGACCAGUCAUCAGCACAAUCUACAGUGCCUCUAUUCAAGUGACUUUCUCCUAACACACACACUGUAUGUUGCUGAUGCUAUCUUUAGCUGCUCAGCCACUUUACCCCUGAUUGUAUGCAUAUAACUAACUCAUCUAUCACUGAUAUUGAUAUUGUUCUUGUACAUACUGUAUAUUUUAUUCAUAUUGACACUGUCUAUUUCUGAUAUUGCUACUACGCAAGUAACCAUUUGGCUGUACAGUUUACACCUUCUGUAGAGACCCAUCCACUUGGCAACAUGUGGCUGGGGGAUAUAGCAUUUCAAAUGACCCAUCAAUUAAGACAAGUGUGUCUGGUUAAUCGUAAUCUAAAUAUUUUUAUACGGACACUUUCUGUUUACCUCUUAUUGUAGGCUACUACUUUUACCACUUUUAAUCUUAAUCUUUACUACACUACUCACUGUUUAGCACAUGACUUCACAUGUGAAUCAUUAAAGAGAUGGUUGGGGCUGGCUUAAGAGGGUGUGAACAAUGCUGAAUGGGUGUAGACAAAGGAGAGCUUUCCAGUAGGUACCAAAACAUUCAAAGGCCAUUUUAUCAAAAGUGAGUUGAACAAGUUUAUCAACUUUCUAAGCAGAAUAACUUUCCCAUUGCUCCUCGCACAGUGUAUGAUAUACCAUUUUGUAGCUCUGAGUCUCUACUUUUAUCCAAUGUAAACACAUUUCAUAUUUUGCUACAUAUGACUGAUUUGAGCCGGUCAGUCACAUAUACCUCUACUGGUAUACCAUCAAGCCACAUGUCUUAACAAAAGACUCCACUAUGCAAGUAACCAUUUCAAUAGAAUGUCACUGCGACAACUGUUGAUAGACAUAGCUGGUAAAUUUGCUCUGGCGAUCUACUCCGAUUUCAGAACACUCUCGUCUGAGUGUGCCAGCGUGCAGAAUAACUGAUGAAUUUACGAACGCUCAAUACCCAUUGAAUAUGACCGGUGUCAGUAAACAUCACCAAAAAAACGUAUAUUGUUGCCAGCAGCACAGUUGCAGUCACCAACGCUCUGGAUAACAUAACAGCCUAACUGGCUCUGCUAGGAUGAGUAAAAUGGUCAGAUCAAAUCAAACUUUCAGUGAGCUGUUCUCUCAUUUGUGUCUAAGUAGCUAGUCAAUGUUAGCCAGUUAGCUCGUAUGCUUGACUGCUGCUGCUAAGAGGGAUUGCUCAGACAAAACCUUAAAGAGAUGGGUGGGCUAAAGUUUAAGAGGGUGUGAACGAUGCUUAAUGGGUGUAGACAAAGAAGAGCUCAUCAGUAGGCACCAAAACAUUCAAAGACCAUUUUCUCAAAAGUGAGGUUCUAAGUUUAUCUAUUUUCAAACCAUAAUUACUUUCCCAUUGUUCCUUAAAUGCAGAGUAUGAUAUACCAUUUUGUAGCUCUGUGUAUGUGUUUUUAUCCAAUGUAAAAAAAAUACAAUUUCAAAUUUUGCUACAUAGACCAACUCAAUGCGGUCGGUCACACAUAGAACAGGAUGACUUCUAAUUCACAUUCAAAGCAAACAGUUAAACGUCGUAGCUCAGCCUCUGAAUGUCAUAGAGACAAAAAAUACCUCCAUGUAAAGUUGAAGUCAGAAGUUUACAAACACCUUAGCCAAAUGCAUUUAUAUUUUUAUGGCUGCAGGGGCAGUAUUGAGUAGCUUGGAUGAAAAGGUGCCCAUUGUAAACGGCCAGCUCCUCAGUCUCAGUUACUAAUAUAUGCAUAUUAUUAUUGGUAUUGGAUAGAAAACACUGAAGUUUCUAAAACUGUUUGAAUUAUGUCUGUGAGUAUAACAGAACUCAUAUUGCAGGCAAAAACCUGAGAAAUUCCACUUCCUGUUUGUAUUUUUUCUGGGGGUGGCAGAUUUUCAACCAAGCUCUCAUUGGAAUUACAGAGAUAUUGAUGAGUUUUCACUUCCUACGCCUUCCACUAGAUGUCAACAGUCAAUAGAACUUUGUCUAAUGACUCUAAUGUGAAGGGGGGUCGAAUGAGACAGGAAAUAGUCACCACUGCCACUAGUUGACCAUGCUUUCACUAUGCGCGUUCACAGGGGAAGCACCUGCGUUCCACCGCUCAUUUGAAGUCAUUCUAAUUCUCCGGUUGGAACGUUAUUAAAGAUAUAUGUAAACAACAUUCUAAAGAUUGAUUCAGUACAUCGUUUGACAUGUUUCUACUGACUGUUGGACAUUUUGUCACGUUAUAGUGGACGCGCAUUGUGACUUUGGAAUUGUUUACCAAAUGCGCUAACCAAAGUAGCUAAUUGGACAUAAAUAACGGACAUUUUCGAACAAAUCAAGCAUUUAUUGUGGACCUGGGAUUCCUAGGACUGCAUUCUGAUGAAGUUCAUCAAAGGUAAGGAAAAAUGUAUCAUGUAUUCUCUGGUUUCUGUUGACUACAACAUGGCGGCUAAUUUGGCUACUGUUCUGAGCUCCGUCUCAGAUUAUUGCAUAGGUUGCUUUAAAAAAAUUCUGACACAGCGGUUGCAUUAAAGAGAGGUAUAUCUAUAAUUCCAUGUGUAUAACUUGUAUUAUCAUCUACAUUUAUGAUAAGUAUUUCUGUUGAAACGAUGUGGCUAUGCAAAAUCACUUGAUGUUU